CAUCGAGCUGGGCGAAGCCUGACCGCCUUCCGCGUGAGUGAAGAAGGCCUUCGGGUUGUAAAGCUCUUUCGCAAGGGAAGAAACGAUGCAGUCGAAUAAACUGUGUUAAUGACGGUACCUUGAUAAGAAGCACCGGCUAACUACGUGCCAGCAGCCGCGGUAAUACGUAGGGUGCAAGCGUUAAUCGGAAUUACUGGGCGUAAAGCGUGCGCAGGCGGUUUUGUAAGUCAGAUGUGAAAUCCCCGAGCUCAACUUGGGAACUGCGUUUGAAACUACAAGACUAGAAUAUGUCAGAGGGGGGUAGAAUUCCACGUGUAGCAGUGAAAUGCGUAGAGAUGUGGAGGAAUACCAAUGGCGAAGGCAGCCCCUUGGGAUAAUAUUGACGCUCAUGCACGAAAG
rnacentral:rRNA from 1 species